AAUCCCACCCUCCUAACUCAGUUUCGCCCUAUCAACCUAUGUAAUGUCUUAUAUAAAAUGGCUUUCAAUGUGAUUUCCAACCGCCUUAAAUUGGUUAUACCCGACAUUAUUUCUGAGGAACAGUCAACCUUUGUCCUAGGAAGGUUGAUUACAGAUAACAUCAUCACAACAUAUGAAUGCCUCACAUCAUCACAACAUAUGAAUGCCUCCACUUCAUGA
rnacentral:rRNA from 1 species